UGAAUAAAAUAAUAACGUACUUAUUUAUACUGUGAAUUGGCGCAGUGUUUCUACAAGACACCUUAAUGUCUAACAAUAAGUAAGCUUUUAAGCUUG
rnacentral:ncRNA from 1 species